GAAAUGCGAUAAGUAAUGUGAAUUGCAGAAUUCAGUGAAUCAUCGAAUCUUUGAACGCACCUUGCGCUCCUUGGUAUUCCUUGGAGCAUGCCUGUUUGAGUAUCAUGAAAUCUUCAAAGUAAAUCUUUUGUUAACUCAAUUGGUUUCUACUUUGGUAUUGGAGGUCUUUGCAGCUUCACACCUGCUCCUCUUUGUUCAUUAGCUGGAUCUCAGUGUUAUGCUUGGUUCCACUCGGCGUGAUAAGUUAUCUAUCGCUGAGGACACUGUAAAAGGUGGCCAAGGUAAAUGCAGAUGAACCGCUUCUAAUAGUCCAUUGACUUGGACAAUACUUUUAUGAUCCGAUCUCCAAUCAGGUAGGACUACCCGCUGAACUUAAGC
rnacentral:misc_RNA from 1 species